CCUACGGGAGGCAGCAGUGGGGAAUAUUGGACAAUGGGGGCAACCCUGAUCCAGCCAUGCCGCGUGUGUGAAGAAGGCCCUCGGGUUGUAAAGCACUUUCAGUGAGGAAGAACGCCUGGUGGUUAAUACCCAUCAGGAAAGACAUCACUCACAGAAGAAGCACCGGCUAACUCCGUGCCAGCAGCCGCGGUAAUACGGAGGGUGCGAGCGUUAAUCGGAAUUACUGGGCGUAAAGCGCGCGUAGGUGGCUUGAUAAGCCGGUUGUGAAAGCCCCGGGCUCAACCUGGGAACGGCAUCCGGAACUGUCAAGCUAGAGUGCAGGAGAGGAAGGUAGAAUUCCCGGUGUAGCGGUGAAAUGUGUAGAGAUCGGGAGGAAUACCAGUGGCGAAGGCGGCCUUCUGGACUGACACUGACACUGAGGUGCGAAAGCGUGGGUAGCAAACAGGAUUAGAUACCCUUGUAGUC
rnacentral:rRNA from 1 species